UGCCGCAACCCUUGUCCUAUGUUUCAUGUGUCAUAGGAGACUGCCCGGGACAACCGGGAGGGAAGGUGAGGAUGACGCCAAAUCAGCAUGGCCUUUUGAUGCCCUGGGCUGCACACGUGGUACAAUGGGGCCGACAAUGGGAAACUAAAGAGUAAUCUGGAGCAAAUCCUACUCAAACGGUCUCUCAAUUCGGAUUGAGGUCUGAAACCCGACCUCAUGAAGCCGGAAUCGCUAGUAACCGCAGAUCAGCCACGCUGCGGUGAAUAUGUCCCUCGGGUCUU
rnacentral:rRNA from 1 species